AUGCGAGAACAGUGCACCUCAGGAGAAGGCUGGUGUUUUUAUAGAACCUCUAACCGGUGUGAUAACUCAGACUGGAUCAAGAUAUUUGCACAAGGGACUAAGCUCAUAGUAACUCCCCCAGACAAAAGCCUUGAUGCAGACAUAUUCCCCAAACCCAUAAUUUUUUUCCCUUCACUUGCUGAAAUAAAAUUCCACAUGUCCGGUACAUAUAUUUGUCUUCUUGAGAAUUUUUUCCCCGAAGUUAUCAAGAUACAUUGGAAAGAAAAGGAUGGCAAAACAAUUCUGAAAUCCCAGCAGGGAGACACCAUGAAGACUAAGGACACAUACAUGAAAUUCAGCUGGCUGACCGUGGCUAGAGAGUCAUUGGCUAAAGAACAAAAAUGUAUCAUCACACACGAGAGUAAUAAAGGAGGGAUUGAGGAAGAGAUUGUUUUUCGUUCAAUGAAAAAAGAGCUCACUGCUAUUGAUUCUACAAAAAUUGAAGAUGCCACCCUGCAGCUACAGCUCAAGACCACCUCUGCCUGCUACACCUACCUCCUCCUCUACCUCAAGAGCCUGAUCUCCUCCACCAUCACCACCAUCUAUCUGUUUGGGAGACCAGCACUCGGUGGCAAUGGGAAGAGUUCCUAGCACAUGGUGGCACCAAGGAUUCACUUUUCUCCAUUGGCUAUUGUCGUUAAAAAUCUUUCUUUCUUGGUUAGCUUUAUUUCAGUUCAUACAUGCAUUUUUCAAUUGUGUCAUUUCUGCAGAAUGGGUUUACAAAUCACUGGGCAAACAGCAAUUUUCAGUCUGCAGCAAGAACAAAUUCUGCCAUGACUCCAGGGCAGGGCCAGGAGGCAUCUAGAGGGGCAUCAGCACGCCGCUCUCCUUAAUGUCCACCAGCUCCUCAGCCACCCAGUCCCCAUGCCUGAGUACAGCCAGCAUGCAGCUUCUGUCCCCUGGGGCUCUUUAAUCAGAUAAUUGCCAGGAAGCCUUUUAUUCUGCACAUCCAAAGAAUAAAAGAAUAAAAGAAGCCUUUUAUUCUACACAUAAGCUGCAAUCUUUGCUACCUGAAUUUUGUACUGUUUUAUAAUAAAAACAAUUAAAUGUCUACUUUGGCCUCUGUGUACUUUCACUUGGUGCAAUCUGAGAGUCCAAGGUGAGGGACAGGAUGACAACUGAGCCUUCCAAUUCAGCAGUGAUUGUAAUAAUGGUCAAUUCCACAUUUCUAAUUUUUUCUCUGAGGUAGUCCUUAUGAUGCCUUCUUUGGGGGCACCAGCUGUAAGAGAGCCACAGCCAGUGAAGGUGCCCUGGUAUUUCUCCUUCAAAGGUCAGCAGAUUCACUCAUUUGGUUAAAGGCGUUCCAGUGGUGACAGUAUAACCUGUUGCAUGACUGGCAGGUGUGCUCAGACCUGUCCCAGUAUGUCACCAGCACCAUGUUCCUGAUCUCACAAGAAUCCCAUGACAGCAGCACUAACACUGGAAAGGUAGGGUGGGGGAGGGGUUAAGUGCUUGGACUCUGAACCCCAAGUGCCUGGAUUGAAAUCUUUGGUCUACAGCUAUUUGAACUCUCUGUGCCAUUAUUUUCUCAUCUGUCAAAUAGAGUUGUCAAAUGUGUCCUGUCUCCUGGGGUUGUGUGGAUGAGAAGAGUUAAUUUUGGGGAUACAUGGGAGUCCUCAGCAGCAUUAGCAUCUACUGUUGGCAGCUCUCCUUUAGAAAUAAUAGUUAACACAC